rnacentral:lncRNA from 1 species
CAUUUCUCCAUCUGUAAAAUGGAAAUCAGUUACAUUUGAUUUUUCUGAUCCCCAAGGUAGUUGUGAAAAUCAAUUAUUCCCGCCUGUAUUCCUUUAAGUACUCUUCGAUGCCCACUAUGUGUCAGGUAUUGAGAACAAGACACACAUGCUCCCUGUCCCCAUGGAAUGGAACUUAAUGAGUGAGGCGUAGCAACAUGUUUUGAAAAAAAUCAGCUGGGAUACAUAGGUGAAGGGUUACUGUCGAGGAGUGGCCACUAAGUAUCCAUAGCGUUCCUCGGUCCUUCACACUCUCCUUGAUACCUCUUUCCCAAGGUCAAAGUUGGGGAAAAGGUGAGAGAUAAAGAGGUCACAUGAGUGACUAUGGCCCAGCCUGGUCAAGCUGCCAUUUUACACUCCACCCACUCCCCAACUCAGUCAGCCCUAACUCUACUACACGAAUCCAGAUUUUCUCCUCUAUGUGCCCCACCCUCUGACAGGGAAGUAGGAAAACAGAGAUUUGUAGAAGUUGGUAACAGCUAAUGUCAGAAGGCAAACUUCCAUUUCUAGAUCCAAGAAAAACUUCCUGUUUUGUUAAGACACUUCUUAGGAGCGGAAACUGGCUCACUCAAAUGAAAACCACAAUGAAUAAUUUUACUGAUUUGUACCAUAUGUUUAGCAAGCCUGAAAUCCCAAGAGGAGGUUGGUGAAUAAAGAGAAACCAUCAGAAAAGGACUGUCAGAUACCAACCCCCAACCAGCCAGGGCUUUUCCCCACAUCACCACUCCCUGAAAGAACAGCAACAACUGAGGGAGUGGAAACACAUUUGGGACACAUGAUGCAAAGGUGACCUUGUGGCUCACGUAAGGGCUGUGUGACUAGGUCAUCGUCCUUUCUCCAGAUGGAGUUUCCCUUUCUACAAAAAGAUCUAGAAAAGCAGCUGUACUAGCAUAGGCAGUGCUGCAGUAACAAAUUAGCUCUGGAGUCUUGGCUUAACACAGUAAAAGUUUAUUUCAUGUUUUCAUUAC